rnacentral:lncRNA from 1 species
GUGCGUGGCUGAGCUGUGAGCAAUUCUUGAAGAAGACUAUCAGAAACAUGGGAGGAGGAGAAGAAAAGUUGGCUCUUAGGUGGAGGCUGGAUAUAGAAUUCACUAAAACCAAAUCAAAUCUUUCCCGUGAGUGAGUGGCAGUUUUGGCCCUGAUGAGACAAGCUGCUUAUAGCUUUAUACUCCUUAAUUUAACUCAGAUAAAACGGCUGCAAAGCAGUUUUCAGUUCAUUCCUGUGUUGGCCUACUGCUUUCCCUGGCACUUUCUCCUGCCCCACUGUUUGAACAUCAAGAUUUUCUUCCUUUGUGUUGCAUAUACAAUCAACUUCUUAAAAAAUGAAUAAAUAGAGAAUUUAAAAUUCUAUAGAAACAAAAGACUUCUUUCCCCAGCAGUUUAAAAUCUUGCUGAAUAGUUUUUAAUUGCAAGGAGAAUCACUGGCAUGGAAAGCACGAGAUCUGAAUUUCUCUUCUAGCUUAACCUUCUUAGUUUGAAAAGUGAUGUAGCAGCCCCUGUCGCCUUCACGUAUGUAUCUGAGCACUGAAAUGUAGAAGUAUUAUUUCAUCAAUUUGUUCUUUCCUUCCCAUCUCUUUUAUGAGAUAUAUUGACUAUGCCAUAUAUAAAAUAUAGUUAAUACUGAACUUUAUAGCAAGAAAAACGCUUUAUGCUAUGCCUAGGGACUGGUUUGUCCUACAUGACCAGGUCAUUUACUAUGCCCUACCCUAUUAAUAUGCAAAGAUUAAAGGUUUUAUGCUCUGAAGGUGAAAUUUAUCCUUUUGGAGAAGGUUAGUGUUAGGCCUGUGCACUUAAGUUUUCAAAAAGCCUUAAAAACAGGUAUGUAAGUGGUGCCAUCUCUCUCCUCAGGGAUGAUUCCCCCCCUGCCAAGUGGUUCCGUGGCAUAUUUAAGAUAACUUAUUAGUUGUAAGGUCAUUUUCCAGUUGAAGAAAGUCAUUCAUUGAACUUUAAUAGUGAGCCUCCUCACUAGCAUCCUCUGGUACCAGCAAAGGCUGGUUGGAGGCAUUACACCUGCUUUUCCCAAAACGUGGCCAUUCCAUGUCAAACCCAAAGUCCUUGGCUGUCCAUGAUAAAGUCUGCAUUUCUGCAGCUGUUUCGUGAAUGGAAAAAACCUGACCUGAUUCCCAGGCUUCAUUUUCACUGCUGUUCCCAAACAUGUUCUGGCAUUAUAAGGAAAUGUCUCUUUUUAAAAAAUGGAUCAGAUUAUUAUAUUUUUCCUUGCCCAGC